rnacentral:pre_miRNA from 1 species
AUUCGUUGGAUGAGUGUGAGGCGUUGCAUUGAUUUUGUUCAAUCCGAGCCCUACAUUUAUCAGGGGUUCGU